GCGCUUCGGCAGCAUGUACACUGAAGCUGGAACGAUACAGAGAAGAUUAGCGUGGCCCUUGCGCAACAAUGACACGCAAAUUCAUGAAGUGUUCCAUAUUUUU